AGCGAACGCUGGCGGCAGGCCUAACACAUGCAAGUCGAACGAAGCCUUCGGACUUAGUGGCGGACGGGUGAGUAACACGUGGGAACGUACCUUUUGGUUCGGAACAACUCAGGGAAACUUGAGCUAAUACCGGAUGAGCCCUUAGGGGGAAAGAUUUAUCGCCGAAAGAGCGGCCCGCGUUAGAUUAGCUAGUUGGUGAGGUAAAGGCUCACCAAGGCUACGAUCUAUAGCUGGUCUGAGAGGAUGAUCAGCCACACUGGGACUGAGACACGGCCCAGACUCCUACGGGAGGCAGCAGUGGGGAAUAUUGCACAAUGGGGGAAACCCUGAUGCAGCCAUGCCGCGUGAGUGAUGAAGGCCUUAGGGUUGUAAAGCUCUUUCACCGAUGAAGAUAAUGACGGUAGUCGGAGAAGAAGCCCCGGCUAACUUCGUGCCAGCAGCCGCGGUAACAC
rnacentral:rRNA from 1 species